rnacentral:rRNA from 1 species
UACAGAGGUCUCAAGCGUUGUUCGGAUUCAUUGGGCGUAAAGGGUGCGUAGGCGGCGCGGUAAGUCGGGUGUGAAAUCUCGGAGCUUAACUCCGAAACUGCAUUCGAUACUGCCGUGCUUGAGGACUGGAGAGGAGACUGGAAUUUACGGUGUAGCGGUGAAAUGCGCAGAUAUCAGGAGGAACACCGGUGGCGAAGGCGACCCGCUGGCCAGCGACUGACGCUGAGACGCGAAAGCGUGGGGAGCAAACAGG